rnacentral:rRNA from 1 species
GCCUACGACGGAUACGGGUUGUGAGAGCAAUCACCCGGAGACGAUAUCUGAGACACGAUAUCGGGCCCUACGGGGCGCAGCAGGCGCGAAAACUUCACACUGUGCGAAAGCACGAUGAGGGAAUCCCAAGUGCUGGCUCGUAAGAGUCAGCUGUUUCUCUGUCUAAAAAACAGAGAGAGUAAGGGCUGGGUAAGACGGGUGCCAGCCGCCGCGGUAAUACCUGCAGCUCAAGUGGUGGCCGCUAUUAUUGGGCCUAAAACGUCCG